rnacentral:lncRNA from 1 species
UCCCAUACUGGAACACAGUCCCUAGUGGUUUUCAAGCUAUAAACUGAGUAAACAGUCCCUUUCUUAUUGAGUGUCUGUGUGAGUGCAUGUUGUUUCUGGAAUACAUCAUAUUCAUUUGCAGAAACCCUGUGUAUGGAUCUUUAACACUUUUUCCCCCUUUUUUUUUUUUUUUCCAAGGUACCUAAAAUAAUGGCUUUUUAAGACAGUAAUAAAGCCAUGUAACUUGUGGGGAAAAGCACACUGUGGCUCACAAUCUGAAUUAAACGUGUGUCAUUGGGGCCUUUGAUCCUGGCUCUCCAGUCGUGGGAACCAGGAGAAGUCAUCUCCUGUGAACUGUGAGUAGGAAGCUGCGAGGGAAUCAGCAGAUGAGUUUGAAGGAGCAUGAUGGAUGGAAUCAGGCCAUUCUGAGCACCAUAAAAAACUUGUUUUAGCGUUGCUGCGGGGGAAAUCUUCUACCUUCAAGAAACCUGAUAUUUUGGACCAGAUCCCUGUCUGA